rnacentral:piRNA from 1 species
AGUACACUUGUGCUGAAGUAUUUUGAUGGAC